UGCAGUCGAGGGGUAACAUUGUGCUUGCACAGAUGACGACCGGCGCACGGGUGCGUAACGCGUAUAGAAUUUACCUUUUACAGAGGGAUAGCCUUUAGAAAUGAAGAUUAAUACCUCAUAGUAUUGCGACUUGGCAUCAAGUUGUAAUUAAAGAUUUAUCGGUAAAAGAUGACUAUGCGUCCUAUUAGCUAGAUGGUAAGGUAACGGCUUACCAUGGCGAUGAUAGGUAGGGGUCCUGAGAGGGAGAUCCCCCACACUGGUACUGAGACACGGACCAGACUCCUACGGGAGGCAGCAGUGAGGAAUAUUGGGCAAUGGAGGCAACUCUGACCCAGCCAUGCCGCGUGCAGGAAGACUGCCCUAUGGGUUGUAAACUGCUUUUAUACAGGAAGAAACACUAGUACGUGUACUAGCUUGACGGUACUGUAAGAAUAAGGACCGGCUAACUCCGUGCCAGCAGCCGCGGUAAUACGGAGGGUCCGAGCGUUAUCCGGAAUCAUUGGGUUUAAAGGGUCCGCAGGCGGUCAAUUAAGUCAGAGGUGAAAUCCCAUAGCUCAACUAUGGAACUGCCUUUGAUACUGGUUGACUUGAGUCAUAUGGAAGUAGAUAGAAUGUGUAGUGUAGCGGUGAAAUGCAUAGAUAUUACACAGAAUACCGAUUGCGAAGGCAGUCUACUACGUAUGUACUGACGCUGAGGGACGAAAGCGUGGGGAGCGAACAGGAUUAGAUACCCUGGUAGUCCACGCCGUAACGAUGGAUACUAGUUGUUGGAUGUAUGUUCAGUGACUAAGCGAAAGUGAUAAGUAUCCCACCUGGGGAGUACGGUCGCAAGACUGAAACUCAAAGGAAUUGACGGGGGCCCGCACAAGCG
rnacentral:rRNA from 1 species